rnacentral:rRNA from 1 species
UGAAAGGGGUGACUAACCCGUAAGGGAGUCACUUCAAGGUAAAACCGGUAACUGGGGCU